rnacentral:lncRNA from 1 species
GAUGAAAGUGCUUUGUUAGUGCCACCAUAGUCUCAAGGCUUCCUUCUGUCUGUAGAUUUUACUGUGUAGGAGACUCCCCCUCCACCCUCUACAAGACAAAGACUCUGUUUGGACUUGCAGAGAUAGUUUACUGGACUUUCAAAGAAAAAAGGACUGGGCUUUGCAGUGAAGAAUGAAAUAGACUCAAUGGAAGCAUUCCAUUCCCCUACCCCAGACAUACAAAAACACAAUCAGCCCAUUUUCCGUCAAGCUUCUCAACUCUAGGUAUCUUUUUUUUUGGUGGUGGUGGUGGGGCAUUGUAUAUGUGUAACAGGUUUAUAUCCCAAAUCGUUUUGUGGCCGAGAAUGACUUUUCCACCAUGAGGUAAUGGCCAUACUAGUCAUCUUCAGUUAGAGCUACCCACCACCUCCACCAUAGCUGAUGAGAAUUCGGGUCCCCAGCACUGACCUCUGAGACCAACACCUCUUCUCAACGUUAGUUCUAGUCACAUAGUGCUGUCACACUGGAAUCUCAUAUAUUUGUUAACAAUAUCUCUGCUUCCUUUUUCCUUAAAUCACAUAGAGAACAUGGUGGCAUCAAUAUUUUCCCAGUUCUCAUGCCUGUUUUCAUAUCACAAUGCUCCCUGCACCGUAAGCAAUGGAAUGUGAGUCUGGUUGAUGCACAGAUGCAGCUAUAGAUUCCACUCAGGAUUCCACGUGAAUGUGGCCCUUCUACUGACAGUGCAAUGGAGUCUCCCUCCUUUCCACUAGCACCUCUUCAGGCUCUUGGCACUAGCCCCAGCUAAUUUGAUAAAGAUCAUUCUGGUGCAAGUUCUUCUUGGAGGAGACCAGGGCAGCAGGAAGCACUUCAGGCAAGCCCCUCCUUCCCAGGAAGAGUAUUUCUGUAAAUUGAUGGGUUCUGUUAGUGAUCUUCCAGUUUUGGUUUCACGUUUUAACAAAAAUAAUAGCAAUGAACCUUCAGGGUGGGGUGGGGGAAUAGAAAUGAGCACUGCAAUCAACCACACCCCCCAAUAAGCUGUUGUAGCUCUAUGUAUUUCUGUAACUCUUUAUUCUAACAUGUGCUUUUGAUUUCUGGGUGCUAGCAUUGUGGUGUAAUAGGUAAAGCUGCCAUCUGCAAUGCUGGCACCUCAUAUGGAGGCCAGUUCAAGUCCUGGCUUCUCCACUUUUGAUAUAGCUCCCUGCUAAUGAGCCUGGGAAAGCUGCGGAAGAUGGCCCAAGUGCUUGGGCCCCUGCAGUCACACAGGAGACCUGGAAGAAACUCCAGGCUCCUGGCAUUUGAUCUGACUGUUGCUGCCAUUUGAGGAGUGAACCAGAGGAUGAAAGACUCUCUUUCUGUAACUCUGCCUUUCAAAUAGUUAAAAUAAAUCUUAAAAAAAAGAUUUUUGCA